GAUUUCCUUCACAGUUGAUUAGGCUUCUGUUUUACUGCUUUGAAGAUUUUUUCCUUCACAUUGACAUUGGAGGAUGUGAUGACUAUGUGCCUUGGUCACUGCCUCCUUUUUGUCAGUAGAUGGAGCCUAAGCCAAGGUUUGCCUUGGCUCUAGCAAAUGAUCAGAUGUGUGCCCAUCUGGAAUAGUUUCUGUCUUUUCAAUGAAGUAUAUUCCUCUCCCACCAAGAAAUUUCACUCUGGUAGAAGACUCCUGCCACGACCACCAAGCUUUCUCAAAGACUGCCUUGAAGGUAAUCCAAGGAGGGAAAGACCCUGCUUGGGAACUGUGGGAAGAUGACCUGGAUCUCAUAGUAUCACUCUCAGGAAGAAAAAGAAGAGACUGCACUGAAGAAAUAAUGGCAUGCAAUGUUAUUUUUAAAUUACUGAGAUGAGGGUCAUGCCUGUUGGAGCACCUAUUGGCUUGCAAUCUUGUUGUCACCAUCAGUCAAAAGGAAAGUAUCAAUUUAUUUGAAUGGCCUUUGUCAAUGUUGGUCUGAGAACAUGCUGCAUGAAAUAAUAAUAAUUAGCAUUAAAUUAGUGAUGAAUGAUGAUAAUAGUUACUGUCCAUUGAGUGUCUUCUAUUCUAAGUGCAAGUACUUUCCAAAUAGUAUGUUAUUUAAUUCCUACGACAAUCCUACAUAUUAUCCCCAUUUCAUUAAUGAGAAGCUGAAGUUGAUAGAGGUUAAGUAACUUGCCUAAUUCAAGAUAGUUGCAAGACAAAAUUCAAACCCAUAUGUACCUCACUCCGUGCAGAUUGUGGAAUAACAUAAUGAAUGAUAUCUUCAAUCGAAAUGUUAUUAUUUUAGAGAAGCGCCAUGCAAUAUAUGGCAUUGGAGACCAUGCCACCAAUGCCAUGACAACCUAGCUCUUCCUAUAAAACCUCCCCCUCUACCACCCACCCAAUUCACAUGGACAUAGCCAAGGCUCCUGACUUUAUUUUGUCUAUGGUGAUCCAGACUACCUGUGUGAUGGUUAAUUUAUUUGUCAACUUAACUGGAUCAUCGGGUGUCCACAAAACUGCUGGUUAAACAUAAUUUUUGAAUGUGUCUGUCUGUGAGGGUGUUUCUGGAUAAGAUUAGCAUUUGAAUUGGUAGACUGAGUAAAGUAGAUGGCCCUCCCUAGUUGGAAAGGAUGAGCCUUUCCAACCAAUUAAAGACCUGAAUAGAACAGAAAGGAGAGAGAGAGAGAGAGAGAAAAGGAAAGAAGAGAGAAAGAGAGAGAGAAAGACAGAAAGACAGAAAGAAAGAAAGAAAGAAAGAAAGAAAGAAAGAAAGAAAGAAAAGAAAGAAAGAAAGAAAAGAAAGAAAGAAAGAAAAAGAAAGGAAGGAAGAAAGAAAGAAAAGGAGGGAAGAAAAGGAGGGAAGAAAGAGGAAGGAAGGAAGGAAGAGAGAGAGAAAGGGAGGGAAGAAGGAGGAAGGAAGGAAGAGAGAGAGAGAAAGGGAGGGAAGAAGGAGGAAGGAAUGGAAGGAAGGAAAGAAGGAAGGAAGGAAAGAAAGAAGGGAGGGAGGGAGGAAGGAAGGAAAGAAGGAAUUCUCUCUCUCUCUGCCUGACUGGUUGAGCUGGAACAUUGGUUUCCUCUGCUUCUGGACUGAACUUCACACCAUCAAUGCUCCUGGUUCUCAG
rnacentral:lncRNA from 10 species